rnacentral:rRNA from 1 species
UAUUGCGAGUGGAUUGAUGGGAACUUUUUUAAACCUCGCCAUUUAGAGGAAGGUGAAGUCGUAACAAGGUUUCCGUAGGUGAACCUGCGGAAGGAUCAUUA